GACGAACGCUGGCGGCGUGCUUAACACAUGCAAGUCGAACGGAAAGGCCCCUUUGGGGGUACUCGAGUGGCGAACGGGUGAGUAACACGUGAGUAACCUGCCCUUGACUUCGGGAUAACUUCAGGAAACUGGGGCUAAUACCGGAUAGGAAUCCUUGCUGCAUGGUGGGGGUUGGAAAGCUUCGGCGGUUUUGGAUGGACUCGCGGCUUAUCAGCUUGUUGGUGGGGUAGUGGCUUACCAAGGCUUUGACGGGUAGCCGGCCUGAGAGGGCGACCGGCCACAGUGGGACUGAGAUAGGGCCCAGACGCCGACGGGAGGAAGCAGUGGGGAAUAUUGCACAAGGGGCGGAAGCCUGAUGCAGCAACGCCGCGUGCGGGAUGACGGCCUUCGGGUUGUAAACCGCUUUCAGCAGGGGCGAAGCUUGUGGUGACGGUACCUGCAGAAGGAGCACCGGCUAACUACGUG
rnacentral:rRNA from 1 species